rnacentral:rRNA from 1 species
ACCCGCUGAACUUAAGCAUAUCAAUAAGCGGAGGAAAAGAAACCAACAGGGAUUACCUCAGUAACGGCGAGUGAAGCGGUAACAGCUCAAAUUUGAAAUCUGGAGCCUUUGGCUUCCGAGUUGUAAUUUGAAGAGGAUGCUUCGGUUGUGGCCCUGGCCUAAGUUCCUUGGAACAGGACGUCGUAGAGGGUGAGAAUCCCGUACACGGCUGUGGGCCUACUUCCAUGUGAAGCUCCUUCGAAGAGUCGAGUUGUUUGGGAAUGCAGCUCAAAAUGGGUGGUAAAUUUCAUCUAAAGCUAAAUAUUGGCGAGAGACCGAUAGCGCACAAGUAGAGUGAUCGAAAGAUGAAAAGCACUUUGAAAAGAGAGUUAAACAGUACGUGAAAUUGUUGAAAGGGAAGCGCUUGCAAUUAGACUCACUUUCGGUUGAUCAACGUUCCUUCUGGUUCGUGCACUCUGCCGUUUGUGGGCCAGCAUCAGUUUGGGUGACGGGAUAAAGGUGUUGGGAAUGUGGCUCUCUUCGGGGAGUGUUAUAGCCCAAUGCGUAAUACCGCCUAUCCAGAUUGAGGUCCGCGCUUUUGCUAGGAUGCUGGCUUAAUAAUUGUAAGCGACCCGUCUUGAAACACGG